rnacentral:lncRNA from 1 species
UCAUCCAACAAUAUGAAGUACCAUUCCAUCAUCCAACGAUUACAUCAUUCUGCUAGUACAAAAUUUUGACAUUACAUUCAUCUUCUAGCUGUCAAUGCAGGACAAAUCUUGCAAAUAAACCUGCCACUAACAUGAUCAUGCCAUAAAACACAAUGCUGGACAUUUGUUUUCUUUCUAAACUAUCACAUCUUGCCCUAUUUGCUUGAACUUCUGCAUUUUUCUUCAGAACUAAUUGUCUCAAUGCAUCCUCUGUUCCAUUUCUCUGCAUCUGUUCUAUCCAUUGCUUCCAGCCAUCACCACAUGCAGCUUCAAACCUCCUGAUUGCAUCCCAAAGAUCCAUUAGUAGUUGUACAACAAAUGGGGAGCAGGGAUCAUCAUGCCGCUGAAAAAAAAAUCCACAGCCAUCUCUCUGAAUGAAACAGUUCAUACCAUCAGAAACGGAAACAAGGACAAGGAAAAAUUACAAGAGAAGAAGAUUGGAAGCUUACUACAAUUCCAUGAACGCAGCAGUAGAAUCUUCUUACAGUGGCAUUCCACUGCCGGCUCGUACGCCAUGGCGUCCUCGCAGUACGGCGCGGACGACCUUGAUGGAGCCAUGCGCCCACGACCUCCGCCUGAGUACGACGCGCGGGAGGAGGAAGACGUCGUCGAUUACUGCCGAAGCCCACCUCCUGCUUGAGUAACCGCCGCCGCCGCCGCCGCCGCCCGUCUCCAGCCUACCAACG